GACGAACGCUGGCGGCGUGCUUAACACAUGCAAGUCGAACGGAAAGGCCCUGCUUGCAGGGUACUCGAGUGGCGAACGGGUCAGUAACACGUGGGUGAUCUGCCCUGCACUUCGGGAUAAGCCUGGGAAACUGGGUCUAAUACCGGAUAGGAGCCAUUUUUAGUGUGAUGGUUGGAAAGUUUUUUCGGUGUAGGAUGAGCUCGCGGCCUAUCAGCUUGUUGGUGGGGUAAUGGCCUACCAAGGCGGCGACGGGUAGCCGGCCUGAGAGGGUGGACGGCCACAUUGGGACUGAGAUACGGCCCAGACUCCUACGGGAGGCAGCAGUGGGGAAUAUUGCACAAUGGGCGCAAGCCUGAUGCAGCGACGCCGCGUGGGGGAUGACGGCCUUCGGGUUGUAAACUCCUUUCGCUAGGGACGAAGCUUUUUGUGACGGUACCUAGAGAAGAAGCACCGGCUAACUACGUG
rnacentral:rRNA from 1 species